rnacentral:rRNA from 1 species
UAGCUAGUUGGUGAGGUAGUGGCCCACCAAGGCGACGAUCAGUAGCGGGUCUGAGAGGAUGAUCCGCCACACUGGGACUGAGACACGGCCCAGACUCCUACGGGAGGCAGCAGUGGGGAAUUUUGGACAAUGGGGGCAACCCUGAUCCAGCCAUUCCGCGUGAGUGAAGAAGGCCUUCGGGUUGUAAAGCUCUUUCAGCUGGAACGAAACGGUAGAGGCUAAUACCCUCUGCUAACGACGGUACCGGCAGAAGAAGCACCGGCUAACUACGUGCCAGCAGCCGCGGUAAUACGUAGGGUGCGAGCGUUAAUCGGAAUUACUGGGCGUAAAGCGUGCGCAGGCGGAUUGUUAAGCAAGACGUGAAAUCCCCGGGCUUAACCUGGGAAUGGCGUUUUGAACUGGCAGUCUAGAGUGUGUCAGAGGGGGGUGGAAUUCCACGUGUAGCAGUGAAAUGCGUAGAGAUGUGGAGGAACACCAAUGGCGAAGGCAGCCCCCUGGGAUAACACUGACGCUCAUGUACGAAAGCGUGGGUAGCAAACAGGAUUAGAUACCCUGGUAGUCCACGCCCUAAACGAUGUCAACUGGUUGUUGGGGGAGUGAAAUCCCUUAGUAACGAAGCUAACGCGUGAAGUUGACCGCCUGGGGAGUACGGUCGCAAGAUUAAAACUCAAAGGAAUUGACGGGGACCCGCACAAGCGGUGGAUGAUGUGGAUUAAUUCGAUGCAACGCGAAAAACCUUACCUACCCUUGACAUGUCCAGAAUCCUGCAGAGAUGCGGGAGUGCCCGAAAGGGAAUUGGAACACAGGUGCUGCAUGGCUGUCGUCAGCUCGUGUCGUGAGAUGUUGGGUUAAGUCCCGCAACGAGCGCAACCCUUAUCAUUAGUUGCUACGCAAGGGCACUCUAAUGAGACUGCCGGUGACAAACCGGAGGAAGGUGGGGAUGACGUCAAGUCCUCAUGGCCCUUAUGGGUAGGGCUUCACACGUCAUACAAUGGUCGGUACAGAGGGUUGCCAAGCCGCGAGGUGGAGCCAAUCCCAGAAAGCCGAUCGUAGUCCGGAUUGUUCUCUGCAACUCGAGAGCAUGAAGUCGGAAUCGCUAGUAAUCGCGGAUCAGCAUGUCGCGGUGAAUACGUUCCCGGGUCUUGUACACACCGCCCGUCACACCAUGGGAGUGGAAUCUGCCAGAAGUAGGUAGCCUAACCGCAAGGAGGGCGCUUACCACGGUGGGUUUCAUGACUGGGGUGAAGUCGUAACAAGGUAGCCGUAGGGGAACCUGCGGCUG